rnacentral:rRNA from 1 species
UACGUAGGGUGCGAGCGUUGUCCGGAAUUAUUGGGCGUAAAGAGCUUGUAGGCGGUUUGUCGCGUCUGCUGUGAAAAUCCGGGGCUCAACCCCGGACUUGCAGUGGGGUACGGGCAGACUAGAGUGUGGUAGGGGAGACUGGAAUUCCUGGUGUAGCGGUGAAAUGCGCAGAUAUCAGGAAGAACACCCGUGGCGAAGGCGGCUCUCUGGGACGGGUACUGACGCUGAGACGCGAAAAGCGUGGGGGAGCGAACAGG